rnacentral:rRNA from 1 species
UGGGGAAUAUUGGACAAUGGGCGAAAGCCUGAUCCAGCCAUGCCGCGUGUGUGAAGAAGGUCUUCGGCUCGUAAAACACUGUUGUAAGAGAAGAAUGACAUUGAGAGUAACUGUUCAAUGUGUGACGGUAUCUUACCAGAAAGGAACGGCUAAAUACGUGCCAC